rnacentral:tRNA from 1 species
GCAUCGUUGGAUCAGUGGUAGAAUGCUCGCCUGCCACGGGGUCGGCCCGGGUACAAUUCCCGGACGAUGCA